UGGAAUUAUCCUCUAUUUCAGUUCAAGAAAGUGAUGAGUUCACUGGUGGUAUGAAGGGAAGGUGGAACUAAUAGUCCUUUGUGCAUAUUCUUUUAAUGUGUAGACUUAACACAGUAUUUCCAGCACUUUAGCUCUUUAUCAGCAAAGGAACUUGGAUGUCAACCAUGACAAAAAAAUCUCCGGAAGUUGAGCAAGGAUUGAUCUUGUGGCAAAGGCUCUUCAAGGGCUCCCCCAAGACCCAUUUAGCCUUGGUUUCACCAUGAAAGGGAGAAGCAGAGCAGGCACCAACCUUCUUGGUUCAGUUGGACCCAACAUUAGCAAAAUGCCUGUACCUGGACUAAUGAGGUGGCAAGGAAAGUGACCUGUCUUUGUUGGGGCCACUAUACUAGGGUCUUCUACUACCUGCAGCUGAACAUGGGUCUGCCUGAUGCUACAUCUUUCUGAUGUGGCAGUUCAUCUUUCUCUUUUUAAUGAUGUGAGAACAGAAACAGAAAUGUUAGCUAUCAUAGUUUGACCUGAACUUAAAUCUCAUCUAAAGCACAAAGUAAAUGAAAGAAUCUAAGGUAGUAAAGACUGUGGCAUUGACAAUGAAUGAGGAGUCCAGCCUACAUGACAGAAAAACAAUGAGUGCUAGGCCUAUAGAAUGUUCUCAGUCAAUAGUUUCCCAAGUGAAAAUUUGCAGUUUUUUCCCCUGUGGUCUCUAAAGUACAUCAUUGUGGAGAGAGAGAGAGGUAUGAAAGUCUAAAGGAGGAAAUUAAUUUUUUUUCUCAUCUCUGCUUUUUCAUCUCAAGCCAUAGUUCAUGUAUUUGGAAUAGAAGGGAAGACAAAGCUCUGAAUUAAGAGAAAAUCUGAAGGAAAAAAACUUUAUUCAAGAAAAGAGUAUUUUGGGAGUUCCCAUCUUGGCUCAGUGGUUAACGAACCUGACUAGCAUCCAUGAAAAUACAGGUUUGAUCCCUGGCCUAGCUCAGUGGGUUAAGGAUGUUGCAUUGCCGUGAGCUGUGGUGUAGGUCACAGACGAGGCUCGGAUAUAGAAUUACUGUGGCUGUGGCGUAGGCUGGCAGCUGCAACUCCAAUUGGACCCCUAGCCUAGAAACUUCCAUAUGCCACAGUUGGGGCCCUAAAAAGACAAAAGACAAAAAAAAAAAUUUUUUUUAAUUUUGAAAAAAAAAUUUCCCACAUCCAGUUCUUUAUUUUUUUAUUAAAGUAUAAUUAAUUUCAAUACGAGUUUUUAGGUAUAUAAUUAGAACCCACUUCUUUAAAUAAAUAGCUUAGGAAAUACUGAGUUAAACUGUUACUGCCUUUGCUAAGCCAGUAUGUGCUGUUUUCCUGAUAGAUAUAUGGUUUGCUACUUUCCUAAGCCCUAUUCAACUAUGCAACCCCCCCAAAAAAAAAGAAAUUCCAGAGGUUAAAAAAAAAAAUCAUGGGAUAAUUGUUACCCAAUCAUUUUCUCUCAUGGCUGCAGUGGACCUAUACAGCUCAUGGCAAAGUUUGGGAACUACUGUCUUAUAUUAUAAGGCAUAUAGUGAGGAAAAUAAAGAGAGUUUACAGGAAGAACUGACUAAAAGGACAGAAGAAGGCAAUUCAUAAAAUAGAAACCUCAAGCAGACAGAAAGACACAGAAUUUAUGAGAGGAAAGCUUGAGUUUCCCACCUUCCAUGACAGCCUCUAAGUGUGUGGCUUAACGUGGAGACCAAAGACGGCAGGUUGGCGACGUUUUAAGCUAAGAAUCAGGAGCCUGGUAUUAUAUUCCAGAAAAUACCUCUGACUGACUUGGAUCACUUUUUGAAGCCAGUUGCCUAAAUAAAUCCUUCAUUUCUUCUUUCAUAAAAUCGUAUUUGAAAAUAAGCUAGAAGCUCAAGUUGGUGGAGAACUUUUGAGCUAUUCAAGAGUAAAGCAGCCUGUGAUAACUUUGUGAAAAACAAUUAUGUUGACUAAUUUCAGUCUGAGGUUCUGAGGAUCUUGGGCAAGUCUUCAUAUGAACAAGUCAAGAACAAUUCAUGUCUGAAUAAUGUUUACAUCAGAGGGAUUACAAGCGGUCGGGUUGAUUAACAAAGAAACGAGCAGCAGCAAAAUGCACCUGCCGAAACCCCAACGUGGCGUGUGCGACCAUCACGAUCAAAGUCGUGAUUGGUCAGAACGGGGCCCAUCAUUUGUGUUUCACAAGUGUCUAGUUUGAUAUCUAGUUACAAAUUUUAAAUUUCAAGUAAACAAACACCUGGUUUUUCCUUUGACAGAAUCCGAAAGUUCCAAGAUGUGAAUCCUAACGCCGUAAACAUUGACACAGCUUGGCGAGCUCCCCAUUAUGUAAAUACCUUGUGAAAACAAACUUUGGUGCAUAAAGUAUUAAUGCUGUUUGAGAAAAAUCAGUUUUUGUUUGCUGUGUCUUUUGAAGCUAGUGUAACUCCUGGUCAUUCUAUAUGACUAUAAAAGCUCGUUGGAAUCAAAUCCUAAUCCCGACAUGUUUUUCUUGUUCAUUUAAACGUUUUAUAUACAUGUGGGAGCCCGAGAGAGUGGAAAGCUUUCAGGGCUUAAGCUUAAAUUGUUUGUCGUUCUCAUGCCUGCUCUCUGAAAAGUAUUUGGCCUGCUUGUAUUUGUAAGGUAAAAUAUACAUUGGUGUUCUUAAGCAUUUUCUUUCUUUUUCCCUUUAUGCCGGUUUAUUUGGUUUACAGAUAUAGAGAGCAGACCUGCUAAAGUUGGAUUGUUACUGUGAGAGAGCAGACCUACUGAAGCUGGAUUGUUUGACUUGCCACCUUGUAAAAAAUGUCUAUGGGAGUUGAUUUGCUAGGUUAGCCCCUGACUCAAGCUUCCAAAAGAAAAAAAAUAUUCUCAACCCAACUCAAUGGUAUUAAAACCCCAAAGAGCAUUGAAAAAAAGAAAAGAAAAGAAAGCAACUAAACAAACACAACUCACCAAAGCUUUCUCCAGAGCUGCAGGAGUCCAACUUAACCUCUGGAGUAUUUCUUGCUUUUAGUUUUGUCAUGAACAAGAAGCAACUGCUGGGCGCAAAUUUGUGGUACUUUAUUUUCCUCCAGUGGAUAUUACAUCCAUUAGCCGUACAUUGGCCAAUAGCAUUAAGCUACAUGAAAUUCAUCAAGGACGAAAUUUAAAUGGAUGUAGGAAAAGCUUAAAAAGAUUUUUCCAUAUGUCAAAGCUACAGAUCGGAACAAAUAAGUAUUUGUUUCUCAAGAGGUGAUUAUGUGUGAAAUGAAAUACAGGUGACCUUUGAACAAUGCUGGGGGUUAGGAGCACCAACCCCUGCACCGUCAAAAAUCCACGUAUAACAUUACAGUCGGCCCGCCUCAGCCUCCACCCACCCCAUCCAGGGCUUCAACCAAC
rnacentral:lncRNA from 1 species